UCUGAGAAGAGAAAGAGGAAGCAGAGAGAUGAGGGGAUCAGGACUGCAUCUUCCCAUGGUAGCAAGGUUCCCAGAAAUGAGCUCUGCACUGGCCAAAAAUAUCAGCCAAGCAGCACAGACGCUCUCCCUUCCACACACACCUCAUUGGUGCAGACAGUUAUGGCAAAUCCCAAAAUAGCAGAGUUAGAUAAAUACAGAGAAAAGGGUUUACAAAUUUCUGAGAGGGUGACAAACAGCAGUGCUCGCUAAGGAGGGGAGCUCUUUUUAACUCAAGGGCUUUUUCUUUCUGAAGAUCCUUUCCCCACAUAGAAUAAAAGAUAAGGUACUUUUCAAGCCAAGUGCCCUGUAACUUGAAAACUGACUGAUAAGAUGCGAUGCUGGGGGCUGCACUGAAGCAGAGAGGAAAUUUUUGGCAAAUACAUGCCUGCAAAACAGAGAAUGGCCUCAGCCUCGAGUUUACUUUUUCACAGCUCCAAUGCUUUCUGCCUGCUUAAAGCCUCAGAGAGUAGUUAUUUAGGAAGCAUGUAGGAAAAUAAGUGAUGUAACUGGAUCUGGGAACCAAGCUGCCUGCUUUGUCACCCAGCUCUGCUGAAUGCUUCCUGCAUUGCCUAGCUUAGAGGUACUUGCAUGGAUACAGAUCACGGUAGCAUUUUCACCAGUCAGUGAAGCACGUUCACCUUCCAUUUAAAGGCAGCAUCUCAUGGAAAACCUUCCCACAUGGCAGAUGACCUGUUUUAAAAUCAGAAGUUUUGAUCAUAUUCGUUCCUCCUGCCAUACCUGAUGAGGAUGAGGAGAACCUGUGACCACACGUUGCCUGCUGGGGAUGCACCGUCCUCUGCCAGCGCUCCCAGAAGGCACAGGGGUGCCACUGAGGUUGGGGAGUUGAUGGCUUUUUUCAAGCAUCUCGCUUUGCUGUCACUUCAGCAGAAGUCUGCAGGAGCUCUGCUUCAUCUGCCUCUUGGCUGGGUGGUGAAAAUUAGUCGUUAAAAGCAAAUUUGAAAAUCAGUUCCUCUGGCUGAAAACUCGUUUGUUUUCUUUUAAAAGCAUCAAACUCUUUUCUUUAUGUCCAGAGGGAGCAAAGCGCAAAGAGUUUCCUAGCCAAGUUUGUGGCAGCAAAAAUGGUGUGUGCUCAUAUUCCUCCUCUUCCUCCCUCCUCUUUCACAACCCCAGCCAAACAUGGCUUGUGCUAAAAGUUUGUGACCCUUGCAUGGUAUUUUCUGAGCCUUUUCAAGCCAAACCCAGAGACUGUUUCCAAACAAGUUUGCAUUUUCCAUUGGGAGCUAGAUAAUCGCAGUGCAGAGGAGGACACUAAAACCAGAGCUUGUCCUCUGGAGUUACAUAUUUCCAUAGCAUCCUUCAUCCAGGAAAAUUCCAAAAGCCUACAGAAGGGUGCUUGCUGUGAGAGGUGAGCAGUCAAGCAACCUGCUUGCCUGGAGGACAUUGGUAUUUGCUCAGCUGGUUUAGGAGGCAGGAGGGGG
rnacentral:lncRNA from 1 species